GCCUGGCUGGCUCAGUCAGUAGAGCAUGUGACUCUUGAUCUCAGAGUUGUGAGUUCGAGCCCCACGUUGGGUG
rnacentral:tRNA from 1 species